CGUCAGUUUCGUACUGUGAAGCAUCCUGUUAAGUCAGGCAACGAGCGAGACCCACGCCCACAGUUUGCCAGCGUACUCUCUGGAGUGACGGGUACACUGUGGGGACCGCCGCUGCUAAAGCGGAGGAGGGAAUGGGCAACGGUAGGUCAGUAUGCCCCGAAUAUCCCGGGCUACACGCGAGCUACAAUGGUUGGUACAAUGGGUAUCUACCCGAAAGGGGACGGGAAUCUCCUAAAACCAACCUUAGUUCGGAUUGAGGGCUGCAACUCGCCCUCAUGAAGCUGGAAUCCGUAGUAAUCGCGUUUCAACAGAACGCGGUGAAUACGUCCCUGCUCCUU
rnacentral:rRNA from 1 species